rnacentral:rRNA from 1 species
ANGGANGUNCUGCAGUCGACGAUUCCUACGGGAGGCAGCAGCAGGGAAUAUUGCACAAUGGGCGAAAGCCUGAUGCAGCGACGCCGCGUGGGGGAUGAAUGCCUUCGGGUUGUAAACCCCUUUCAGGAGGGACGAAGCGAAAGUGACGGUACCUCCAGAAGAAGCCCCGGCCAACUACGUGCCAGCAGCCGCGGUAAUACGUAGGGGGCGAGCGUUGUCCGGAUUUAUUGGGCGUAAAGAGCUCGUAGGCGGCUCAGCAAGUCGGCCGUGAAAGCCCAGGGCUCAACCCUGGGACGCCGGUCGAAACUGCUGUGGCUAGGGUCCGGUAGAGGAGAGUGGAAUUCCCGGUGUAGCGGUGAAAUGCGCAGAUAUCGGGAGGAACACCAGUAGCGAAGGCGGCUCUCUGGGCCGGUACCGACGCUGAGGAGCGAAAGCUAGGGGAGCAAACAGGAUUAGAUACCCUGGUAGUCCUAGCCGUAAACGUUGGACACUAGGUGUGGCGGAUUCAUUGACGUCUGCCGUGCCGAAGCUAACGCAUUAAGUGUCCCGCCUGGGGAGUACGGUCGCAAGGCUAAAACUCAAAGGAAUUGACGG